rnacentral:rRNA from 1 species
AGAGUUUGAUCCUGGCUCAGGAUUAACGCUGGCGGUGUGUAUAAUACAUGCAAGUCGAGCGCCCAGGACCUUGUUUAUAAUUGCGAACAAUAUUCGUGAUUACCGAUAAGUUCCUGGGAGCGGCGGACGGGUGAGUAACACGUUGGUAACUACUCCAGAAUCAGGGAUAAGCUCUAGAAAUAGGGUCUAAUACCGGAUGG